rnacentral:rRNA from 1 species
AGAGCGUAUGGUGGAUGCCUUGGCAUCAGGCGCCGAAGAAGGACGUGACAAGCUGCGAAAAGCUGCGGGGAGCUGCAAAUGAGCCGAGAUCCGCAGAUGUCCGAAUGAGGAAACUCAGCGCGGGUAAUGCCGCGUUAUCAUACACUGAAUCCAUAGGUGUAUGAGGGGAACCCGGGGAACUGAAACAUCUUAGUACCCGGAGGAAAAGAAAGUAAAAACGAUUCCGAAAGUAGUGGCGAGCGAAAUCGGAGGAGCCCAAACCGCAUGUAGCAAUACGUGCGGGGUAAGGACCCCAGAACGCUACCGAGCAAGAUAGUCAAAGACGGUUGGAAAGCCGCACCGAAGAGGGUAAAAGUCCCGUAGGCGAAAUCAUGCGGAGGGCAGGGGUAUCCGGAGUACGUCGGGACACGAGAAAUCCAGACGGAAGAAAUGGGGACCAUCCCAAAAGGCUAAAUACGACCAUGUGACCGAUAGCGAAGAGUACCGUGAGGGAAAGGUGAAAAGAACCCCGGGAGGGGAGUGAAAUAGAACCUGAAACCGUAUGUCUACAAGCAGUCGAAGCACCUUAAGAGUGCGACGGCGUGCCUAUUGAAGAAUGAACCGGCGAGUUACAUUAUGUUGCGAGGUUAAGUGGGAGACACGGAGCCGAAGCGAAAGCGAGUCUUAAUAGGGCGACUAGUAACAUGGUGUAGACCCGAAACCGCAGUGAUCUAUCCAUGGUCAGGUUGAAGCGCAGGUAAAAAUGCGUGGAGGACCGAACCCGUGAGUGUUGAAAAACUUUGGGAUGAACCGUGGAUAGGGGUGAAAUGCCAAUCGAACGCGGAGAUAGCUGGUACUCCCCGAAAUAGCUUUAGGGCUAGCCUCAGGGAAGAUUAUAGACGGUAGAGCACUGAUCUGGCAAGGGGGCGUAAAGCCUACCGACCCUAGUCAAACUUCGAAUGGCUAUAAUUAAGACCCUGGGAGUCAGACUGCGAGUGAUAAGACCCGUAGUCAAGAGGGAAACAGCCCAGACCGCCGACUAAGGUCCCCAAUGCUGUACUAAGUGGAAAAGGAUGUAAGACUUCAUAAACAACCAGGAUGUUGGCUUAGAAGCAGCCACCAUUAAAAGAGUGCGUAAUAGCUCACUGGUCGAGAGGCCUUGCGCCGAAGAUGUCCGGGGCUCAAGUACAGAACCGAAGUCGCGGCAGGAUUUAUAAUUCUGGGUAGGGGAGCGUUGUAUAUCCGACUGAAGGUGUACCGGAAGGAGCGCUGGAGGAUAUACAAGAGAGAAUGCCGGUAUGAGUAGCGAAAAGAACAGUGAGAAUCUGUUCCACCGAAAGCCUAAGGUUUCCUGAGCAACGCUCGUCGACUCAGGGUAAGUCGGGACCUAAGCCGAGGCAAAAAGCAUAGGCGAUGGACAACAGGUUAAUAUUCCUGUACCGCUUCAAAUCGUUUGAGCAAUGGAGUGACACAGAAGGUAGCUUGAGCACGCGAAUGGAUGUGCGUGUCGAAGGUGGUAGGUUGCAGUAUAGGCAAAUCCGUACUGUAUAAGACCGAGAACUGAUAGAUAGACGAUACUUCGGUAAAGUCAAAUUCAAGUGAGCCAUGCUGUCGAGAAAAGCUUCUAGUGAGAGAUGAGGCGCCCGUACCGAAACCGACACAGGUAGGCGGGGAGAGAAUCCUAAGGUGCGCGGGACAACCCUCGUUAAGGAACUCGGCAAAUUGUAUCCGUAACUUAGGGAUAAGGAUAGCCGGAGGAUGUGAAGGGAUUUACUUCUGGAGCGUCAGCCGGUGGCACAAGAGAGGCCCAAGCGACUGUUUAGCACAAACACAGGUGCCUGCAAAAGAGAAAUCUGACGUAUAGGUGCUGACACCUGCCCGGUGCUGGAAGGUUAAGAGGAGGGCUUAGAGGCAACUCGAAGGCUUGAAUUGAAGCCCCAGUAAACGGCGGCCGUAACUAUAACGGUCCUAAGGUAGCGAAAUUCCUUGUCGGGUAAGUUCCGACCCGCACGAAAGGUGUAACGACUUGGGCACUGUCUCAACGAGGGACCCGGUGAAAUUGAAGUACCUGUGAAGAUGCAGGUUACCCGCGACUGGACAGAAAGACCCCAUGGAGCUUUACUGCAACCUGACAUUGAUGUUCGGUAAAUAACGUACAGGAUAGGUGGGAGACGGAGAAGUAUUGGCGUUAGCUGAUAUGGAGUCAACCUUGGGAUACCACCCUUUAUUUAUUGGACCUCUAACUGAAGAAGUAACGACUCUCAGGACAGUAUCAGGCGGGCAGUUUGACUGGGGCGGUCGCCUCCCAAAAUGUAACGGAGGCGCCCAAAGGUUCCCUCAGCGCGAACGGAAACCGCGCAAAGAGUGUAAAGGCAGAAGGGAGCUUGACUGCGAGUCAGACACGACGAGCAGGUACGAAAGUAGGGCUUAGUGAUCCGGUGGUUCCGAGUGGAAGGGCCAUCGCUCAACGGAUAAAAGCUACCCUGGGGAUAACAGGCUAAUCUCUCCCAAGAGUCCAUAUCGACGGGGAGGUUUGGCACCUCGAUGUCGGCUCAUCACAUCCUGGGGCUGGAGCAGGUCCCAAGGGUUGGGCUGUUCGCCCAUUAAAGUGGUACGUGAGCUGGGUUCAGAACGUCGUGAGACAGUUCGGUCCAUAUCCAUCGCGGGCGUAAGAGACUUGAAGGGGGCUGCUCCUAGUACGAGAGGACCGGAGUGGACGGACCAAUGGUGUACCAAUUAUCCCGCCAGGGGUACAGUUGGGUAGCUACGUCCGGAAAAGAUAAACGCUGAAAGCAUCUAAGCGUGAAACUUGCCUUAAGAUGAGGUCUCCCGAAGCGAAAGCUUGA